UAAUUCAGAGCUUGGUAAAGCGUCUUAUUUACACUAAGGAGUUAUUUGUGAUUCAAAUUGAAUUAA
rnacentral:tRNA from 1 species